rnacentral:rRNA from 1 species
AUUGAACGCUGGCGGCAUGCUUUACACAUGCAAGUCGAACGGCAGCGCGGGCUUCGGCCUGGCGGCGAGUGGCGAACGGGUGAGUAAUGCAUCGGAACGUGCCCAGUAGUGGGGGAUAGCCCGGCGAAAGCCGGAUUAAUACCGCAUACGACCUGAGGGUGAAAGCGGGGGACCGAAAGGCCUCGCGCUAUUGGAGCGGCCGAUGUCGGAUUAGCUAGUUGGUGGGGUAAAGGCUUACCAAGGCGACGAUCCGUAGCUGGUCUGAGAGGACGACCAGCCACACUGGGACUGAGACACGGCCCAGACCCCUACGGGAGGCAGCAGUGGGGAAUUUUGGACAAUGGGGGCAACCCUGAUCCAGCCCUGCCGCGGGGGGGAAGAAGGCCUUCGGGUUGUAAACCGUUUUUGUUGGGGAAGAAAUCCUCUGGGCUAAUACCCCGGGGGGAGGAGGGUACCGGAAGAAGAAGACGCGGCUAACUACGU